rnacentral:rRNA from 1 species
CCUACGUGGAGCAGCAGUGGGGAAUAUUGGGCAAUGGGCACAAGCCUGACCCAGCAACGCCGCGUGAAGGAAGAAGGCUUUCGGGUUGUAAACUUCUUUUCUCAGGGACGAAGCAAGUGACGGUACCUGAGGAAUAAGCCACGGCUAACUACGUGCCAGCAGCCGCGGUAAUACGUAGGUGGCAAGCGUUAUCCGGAUUUACUGGGUGUAAAGGGCGUGUAGGCGGGAAAGCAAGUCAGAUGUGAAAACCCUGGGCUCAACCCGUGGCCUGCCUUUGAAACUGUUUUUCUUGAGUACUGGAGAGGCAGACGGAAAUCCCAGUGUAGCGGGGUAAUGCGUAGAGAUUAGGAGGAACACCAGUGGCGAAGGCGGUCUGCUGGACAGCAACUGACGCUGAGGCGCGAAAGCGUGGGGAGCAAACAGGAUUAGAUACCCUGGUAGUC